rnacentral:rRNA from 1 species
UACAGAGGUCUCAAGCGUUGUUCGGAUUCAUUGGGCGUAAAGGGUGCGUAGGCGGCGCGGUAAGUCGGGUGUGAAAUCUCGGGGCUUAACUCCGAAACUGCAUUCGAUACUGCCGUGCUUGAGGACUGGAGAGGAGACUGGAAUUCCCGGUGUAGUGGUGAAAUGCGUAGAUAUCGGGAGGAACACCAGUGGCGAAGGCGACUUCCUGGCCUGUUCUUGACGCUGAGGCGCGAAAGCUAGGGGAGCAAACGGGG